rnacentral:sRNA from 1 species
ACAGUCACCGAAGAAAUGAAGUUACAGGAGGGCGCACCGUCCUUUUGUCUCUGCCUUUGAGGUUGGUGGGAACUGAAACUGCAGAGCAUGGGGGUCCCUCGUACCCCUUCACGGACAGUGCUCUUCGAGCGGGAGAGGACGGGCCUGACCUACCGCGUGCCCUCGCUGCUCCCCGUGCCCCCCGGGCCCACCCUGCUGGCCUUUGUGGAGCAGCGGCUCAGCCCUGACGACUCCCACGCCCACCGCCUGGUGCUGAGGAGGGGCACGCUGGCUGGGGGCUCCGUGCGGGUGAGUGAGUGGCCGGGGGCUCUGUGUGGGUGUAGUGGCCGGAUCUGCUGGGGCUGCACACCCCGAGACAGGGGUGGGGGUGGUGGCGGCAGGCAGAUGCCCGAGGUAGAGAUGAGCAAACCAGGCUCAGCGAUCCUGGGUGCCCUGCGGGGGGCUGUGCCCAGGUCCCUGGACGUCCUGGUCAGCGGAACUUCCUCCUCUGGGCAGUGGGGUGCCCUGCACGUGCUGGGGACAGCGGCCCUGGCGGA